rnacentral:rRNA from 1 species
AGUGAACGCUGGCGGUAGGCCUAACACAUGCAAGUCGAACGGCAGCACAGUAAGAGCUUGCUCUUACGGGUGGCGAGUGGCGGACGGGUGAGGAAUACAUCGGAAUCUACUUUUUCGUGGGGGAUAACGUAGGGAAACUUACGCUAAUACCGCAUACGACCUACGGGUGAAAGCAGGGGAUCUUCGGACCUUGCGCGAUUGAAUGAGCCGAUGUCGGAUUAGCUAGUUGGCGGGGUAAAGGCCCACCAAGGCGACGAUCCGUAGCUGGUCUGAGAGGAUGAUGAGCCACACUGGGACUGGAGAACGGGCCAGGACCCCACGGGAGGGAGCAGGGGGGAAAAUUGGACAAUGGGGGGAAACCUGGUCCCGCCAUGCCGCGUGGGGGGAAAAGGGCUUCGGGUUGUAAAAGCCUUUUUGUUGGGAAAAAAAGGAAGAAGUUAAAACCCCCGUUUUUUGGGGGGACCCAAAGAAAAAAGAACCGGUAACUUUGUU